rnacentral:rRNA from 1 species
UACGUAGGGGCAAGCGUUUGUCCGGAUUUAUUGGGCGUAAAGAGCGUGUAGGCGGUUUGGUUAGGUCCGUUGUGAAAACUCGAGGCUCAACCUCGAGACGCCGAUGGAAACCAUCAGACUAGAGUCCGGAAGAGGAAGAGUGGAAUUCCUGGUGUAGCGGUGAAAUGCGCAGAUAUCAGGAAGAACACCCGUGGCUAAGGCGGCUCUCUA